GACGAACGCUGGCGGCGUGCCUAAUACAUGCAAGUAGAACGCUGAAGGAGGAGCUUGCUUCUCUGGAUGAGUUGCGAACGGGUGAGUAACGCGUAGGUAACCUGCCUGGUAGCGGGGGAUAACUAUUGGAAACGAUAGCUAAUACCGCAUAAGAGUAGAUGUCGCAUGACAUUUGCUUAAAAGGUGCAAUUGCAUCACUACCAGAUGGACCUGCGUUGUAUUAGCUAGUUGGUGAGGUAACGGCUCACCAAGGCAACGAUACAUAGCCGACCUGAGAGGGUGAUCGGCCACACUGGGACUGAGACACGGCCCAGACUCCUACGGGUGGCAGCAGUAGGGAAUCUUCGGCAAUGGACGGAAGUCUGACCGAGCAACGCCGCGUGAGUGAAGAAGGUUUUCGGAUCGUAAAGCUCUGUUGUAAGAGAAGAACGAGUGUGAGAGUGGAAAGUUCACACUGUGACGGUAUCUUACCAGAAAGGGACGGCUAACUACGUG
rnacentral:rRNA from 1 species